rnacentral:rRNA from 1 species
ACCGGUAGGAUGGAAACGGAUAGAGCCAGCGAAGUCGCUUGUAUUCAGCCAAAAGCCUCGGGCUGCCUGUCGUGUCUGCUUUGUCAGCCGGCUGGUCUGCCUGGGGCCGAGGUGCAUUUGCAGGCGUUUGCGCUGAGACUUGCGGGGCAGCUGCUGGACCCGUGUGCUAGAGGCUUCCCUCUGGGUUGAACCUGGCCGCGGUUACAGCCGGUUUGGCCUGCUCGUACCGGCCCGGUCGGCGGCGGUUGGGCUCCUGUUUGCAGGCCAGGGUGUCGCAUGCGAUGCUCAGUUUGUGGGCUGGAGGUUGGCCGUCGUCCCGGGUCGACUCUCGGUGUAGAAGCUGGUCAUCUCUCCGACCCGUCUUGAAACACGGACCAAGGAGUUUAGCGUAUGCGCAAGUCAUUGGGUGUUAAAACUCACAGGCGCAAAGAAAUUAAAGGCUCGGUCGCCGGGCUGACAUGUGAGUGCCGUCCAGGCACGCAGCAUGGUCCCGUUGCAGUCGCUUGCGACGUAGCGGAGACAGAGCGUAUGCGCUGAGACCCGAAAGAUGGUGAACUAUUCCUGAGCAGGACGAAGCCAGAGGAAACUCUGGUGGAAGUCCGAAGCGAUUCUGACGUGCAAAUCGAUCGUCUGACUUGGGUAUAGGGGCGAAAGACUAAUCGAACCAUCUAGUAGCUGGUUCCCUCCGAAGUUUCCCCCAGGAUAGCUGGAGCACAGUGUACAGUUACACUCGGUAAAGCGAACGAUUAGAGGACUUGGGGACGAAAUGUUCUUAACCUAUUCUCAAACUCUAAAUGGGUGUGAUGCGGACGUUGCUUGACUCUGAACGUCCGCGUUGAAUGUGCGCUCCAAGUGGGCCAUUUUUGGUAAGCAGAACUGGCGAUGUGGGAUGAACCAAACGCACGGUUAAGGUGCCAAAGUUCCCGCUCAUUAGACCCCAUAAAGGGUGUUGGUUGAUAUAGACAGCAGGACGGUGGCCAUGGAAGUCGGAAUCCGCUAAGGAGUGUGUAACAACUCACCUGCCGAAUCAACUAGCCCCGAAAAUGGAUGGCGCUGGAGCGGGACACCCAUACCGUGCCGUCUGUGCUCGAGUCCGCCCCGCGACGGAGCAGGCACAGACGUGUAGGAGGGUCGCAGUGGUUGCG